rnacentral:rRNA from 1 species
AUUGAACGCUGGCGGCAUGCUUUACACAUGCAAGUCGAACGGCAGCGCGGGCUUCGGCCUGGCGGCGAGUGGCGAACGGGUGAGUAAUGCAUCGGAACGUGCCCAGUAGUGGGGGAUAGCCCGGCGAAAGCCGGAUUAAUACCGCAUACGACCUUAGGGUGAAAGCGGGGGACCGAAAGGCCUCGCGCUAUUGGAGCGGCCGAUGACGUAUUAGCUAGUUGGUGGGGUAAAGGCUUACCAAGGCGACGAUCCGUAGCUGGUCUGAGAGGACGACCAGCCACACUGGGACUGAGACACGGCCCAGACUCCUACGGGAGGCAGCAGUGGGGAAUUUUGGACAAUGGGGGCAACCCUGAUCCAGCCAUGCCGCGUGCGGGAAGAAGGCCUUCGGGUUGUAAACCGCUUUUGUUCGGGAAGAAAUCCUCUGGGCUAAUACCCCGGGGGGAUGACGGUACCGGAAGAAUAAGCACCGGCUAACUACGUG